AUGCUGGAUGAUGAUGAUGAGGUGAAUUUUGAGGACGAGGACGAUGAUGAGUUUAAUCCGGCUAAAAUUGUGUGGGAUCCCGCUCAUAGGCAACAAAUUGUUGAUUAUCAUCCGAAUAUUCAAGAUCAGGUGAGAAGAGCAUACAUAUUGAAGAGUCCAACCCGACCAACUGUCAAAUUUGAUCACAAAAAAAUUACUAGCAAGAACCGUGCAUUUUCUAAAAAUUGGCAUAAGAAUUAUGAUUGGUUAGAAUAUAGUGUGUCCAAGCAAGCUGGAUUUUGUUUCUAUUGCUUUGUUUUUAAGCAACUAGGAAGUAGUACACAUUUUGGUUAUGAUGUCUUCACCAAAAAAGGAUUCAGGGAUUGGAAGCAUGCAUAUCAGGCAUUGCCUGCUCAUGUUGGUGGGGUAAAUAGUGCAUACAACAAGGCAAGAUUGCAUUAUGAUGAUUUUCGUAAUCAAAGGCAAAGUGUGUCUAGUAACUUUGCUAGGUCAUCCAAGGAGUAUGAAGUACUUUACAAAAUUCGGUUGCACACUUCUCUGGGUUGUGCAAGAUACCUCAUUUGUGAGGGCUUGGCUUUUCGUGGCCAUGAUGAAAGUUCAACUUCACUGAACAAGGGUAAAUUCCGUGAGAUGGUAGAUUGGCAUAAAGCUAGAGAUGAGAAAGUGAGGCAUGCUUUUGACCAUAGUAGUAGAAACUGCAAGAUGCUUACUGCUGAAAUUCAAAAAGAUCUUUCAAAGUGUUGCGCAGAUAAGGUUACCAAUGCGAUCAUGAGAGAAAUUGGUGAUAAGAAAUUCUCUGUGCUUAUCGAUGAGUCACGUGAUAUAUCUGUCAAAGAGUAA
rnacentral:rRNA from 1 species